UGGUAUUUUAAGUUUGUAUGAAAACGCGUAAGAUUUGGGUGAUUGAAACUAAACAUGGAAGAUAAUUUUUAGGUCAAUUUUUACUUUUUCUUUUUUAAUGCUGUUCUUGAUAUUCCACUUCACUCAAAACACACCAGUUCAUAAGUUAUUUCAGGGCUUUCACAAUAGCCAUGUCUUUGUGGUCAAUCAUCCUCAGAGCAGCCUGAGUCAAUUCCAUUCAUGACUUCCUUAGCCAUAUAUCUCUGAUCCUUUUUCAGGACAAGACAUGCACUACUACAUAUGCUGUGCCUGGCUCAAGAUUCCUAUAUGUAGCAAGGUUGCCCUACCGACACUGGCAAAAUGAAUGCUUCCUUGAACAAAGCUAACCAAAGGUGCCAUCAACUGUCUUAAUCUGAACAGGAAGGAAGCCUAGUUUUCAACAAAGACAAUGUGACUUUCAGGGUGUGCACCACCCGGUGUUCAUUUGUUAACAUCAAUAAUGUGUGACCACAAAAGGAAACCCUUCUGAAGAUCGAAGAUCUUGCUCGCAGCUAUGCCUCAUUGCCUACCAUGGCCAAAACCUCUUUGAGGUUUACUGUAGGUAGUGUUCUCCGUCUGAUUGUUAUGUGUUGAGGAUGA